GAGGGCGGGCCGGCCCCCGAAGAGAGGCGAGGGUGAGGCAGGCGAAGCGGCGGCUCCUCCCAAAGCAAGUCACCUCCUUGCCAGAAUGUUUAAGAGCGGUUCCAGACAGCACUUUAUCACGGGCUUUAGUGAAGGGCAAAAAGUCCAGGGACUUCAGGAGAUGUCCACAUACACACCUGUUGGUUCUGGGAUUUCUGCCUCUGCUGUCCAGACGUCAUGCUUUGUCUCAAGAUAGUGCCAAGGUAACUAGAGGCUCCCAAGAUGGCUGCCAGAGGCAGGACUUCUGCUGGAAACUGGCAGUUUUUUUAAAAACCAUUGUGGGUUGCGGAUAUAUGGAUAUGUGGACGUUCAGAUAUAUGGUGAACCACAAAAAUUCCAUCGUUUGUCCUGGCCUCAAAAACAAUUCCCUUCAGACGUUUCAUGAAGUUUCUCUCGCACUUACAAACCUCAUGGGGUAAAAACACUACUGCCCGAGUCAGCAGUACACAAACAGGUACACACAUUUUAAAGCCAGAAACAGAACUUUGUAAUUAUCUACUAUUUUUAGAGCCUGGCUACCUGGCCAUCUGGCCAGACAGAUUUGAUUGUAUACUUGUGGCAUCCAACAACAGGGUUUUAUUCAACUUUCAAUAUUGGAGGAUACGGUGUCUUUUGGGUUGCUCCAACAGAGCUACCUGUAUUUUUGGCACUUUCCCCCAUCUAAUGGGGCAGGGCAUCAGCCUGCGUUCUCCUGAUUCCCCCGUGAAAUGCAGGAGGGAGGGAAGGCACAUAGGUUGCCGCAAGUCACCACACGUGCCUUCUUGAAUAGCAGAGAGGGGGCAUCAAUCUGAUGAAGACCUUUAACUUCCCUAUCAAUACUCUAUAUAAUCCUGGAGUUUGCAUUUUAGAAAAGGCAUUUAACAUUUUCAACCAGAGAGCUCUUGGUCCACACUAAAUUCCAUAAUUCCUGAGGAUGUUGUCAUGGAAGUUAAAAUGGAAUAUAGUUCUACUAACUGUCCCCUGCCACGCGUUGCUGUGGUCCAGUCUGUUGAUCUGAAAAAUAAAGUAAUGAAAAAGUGUUGGUUUCUAA